AUUGAACGCUGGCGGCAGGCCUAACACAUGCAAGUCGAGCGGAUGAAGGGAGCUUGCUCCUGGAUUCAGCGGCGGACGGGUGAGUAAUGCCUAGGAAUCUGCCUGGUAGUGGGGGAUAACGUCCGGAAACGGGCGCUAAUACCGCAUACGUCCUGAGGGAGAAAGUGGGGGAUCUUCGGACCUCACGCUCUCAGAUGAGCCUAGGUCGGAUUAGCUAGUUGGUGGGGUAAAGGCCUACCAAGGCGACGAUCCGUAACUGGUCUGAGAGGAUGAUCAGUAACACUGGAACUGAGACACGGUCCAGACUCCUACGGGAGGCAGCAGUGGGGAAUAUUGGACAAUGGGCGAAAGCCUGAUCCAGCCAUGCCGCGUGUGUGAAGAAGGUCUUCGGAUUGUAAAGCACUUUUAGUUGGGAGGAAAAGCAGUAAGUUAAUACCUUGCUGUUUUGACGUUACCAACAGAAUAAGCACCGGCUAACUUCGUG
rnacentral:rRNA from 1 species